rfam:Schistosoma rodhaini strain Burundi genome assembly, scaffold: SROB_scaffold0001339
AUCCAGCUGACGAGUCCCAAAUAGGACGAAACGCGCGUCGUUGAU